GUAGGGUGCAAGCGUUAAUCGGAAUUACUGGGCGUAAAGCGUGCGCAGGCGGUUAUGCAAGACAGAGGUGAAAUCCCCGGGCUCAACCUGGGAACUGCCUUUGUGACUGUAUAGCUAGAGUACGGUAGAGGGGGAUGGAAUUCCGCGUGUAGCAGUGAAAUGCGUAGAUAUGCGGAGGAACACCGAUGGCGAAGGCAAUCCCCUGGACCUGUACUGACGCUCAUGCACGAAAGCGUGGGGAGCAAACAGGAUUAGAUACCCUGGUAGUCCACGCCCUAAACGAUGUCAACUGGUUGUUGGGAGGGUUUCUUCUCAGUAACGUAGCUAACGCGUGAAGUUGACCGCCUGGGGAGUACGGCCGCAAGGUUG
rnacentral:rRNA from 1 species